rnacentral:misc_RNA from 1 species
ACUACAAGAUUGGAAAGGACAACAAGCUGACUGAGGAGAUCCUAGCAGCUGGUCCGAUAUUUUAAUUCCCACCGAAAGGAGAACAGGAAGAUGAUUCCAGGAGGAGUUGGAGUAGACAAGAUAGAAUAAGAGUUAGGUUGAAUGUUGUAGUCAUUUGUGCCAGGAUAUAUUUAUAACUAUAGUAGCAUUCCUGCAAGUCUCUCUGUAACGAGGCGGGACUUCCAAGUUCUGCCUAACAAUCCCCCGUUUAAUCCAUAAAAAAAAAUGAAAAA